GCCAAGCUGCCAAAGACAUCAAGGCCACAAAUCGACCACCACUUUUUAAAACUCACAUUUUUUCUUUGUUUGCAGCAGGAACAAAGCAGUGCAGAAUGUCGAUUCCUAAAGGACGAAUGUCACCAAAGGUAAGUUUUCUUAAGAUCUCCAAUUUUCCUUUAUUUUUAGCAUGCAUCACUACUUUUUAUACCUCUCAUUUUCGUAGCUUAACCCAGGUAGAACCUUUUAGCCUAGGAGGAUCCAGAUCAUAGUUCCGGGUAGAAGUACUCUUCGCCCAGGCUUGUUUUACGUAGCUUAACCUAGGUAGAACAUUUUCGCCUAGGGGGAUCCAGAUCAUAGUUCCGGGUAGAAGUACUCUUCGCCCAGGUUAUUUUACGUAGCUUAAUCCAGGUAGAAUAUUUUCGCCUAGGGGGAUCCAGCUCAUAGUUCCGGGUAGAAGUACUCUUCGCUCAAGUUGUUUUACGUAGCUUAAUCCAGGUAUAAUCUUUUUGCCUAGGGGGAUCCAGCUCAUAGUUACGAGUAGAAGUACUCUUCGCUCAGGUUGUUUUACGUAGCUUAACCCAGGUAGAACUUUUUUCACCUAGGGGAAUCUAGCUCAUAUUUCCUGGUAGAAGUAGUAUUCGCCCAGGCUUAUUUUUCGUAGCUUAACCCAGGUAGAACCUUUUCGCUUAGGGGGAUCCAUCU
rnacentral:lncRNA from 1 species